rnacentral:tRNA from 1 species
AUGCAUUUAGUUUAUUUAAAAUAGAAUAAGAGUUUGUCAUACUCUAGGUGAUUUUUUUAUAGAUCAAUGUAUA